rnacentral:rRNA from 1 species
GAUGAACGCUGGCGGCGUGCCUAAUACAUGCCAGUCGAACGGGGAGUAGCAAUACUCUUAGUGGCGAACGGGUGAGUAACGCGUUGGUACCUGCCCCGAAGCGGGGGAUAACGGACCGAAAGGUCCGCUAAUACCCCAUGUGCUCGGUAACGAGUAAAGGUGAAAACCACUUUGGGAGGGGCAUGCGUCCCAUCAGCUAGUUGGUAAGGUAACGGCUUACCAAGGCGAUGACGGGUAGGGGACCUGAGAGGGUGGCCCCCCACAAUGGAACUGAAACACGGUCCAUACACCUACGGGUGGCAGCAGUAGGGAAUAUUGGUAAUGGGCGCAAGCCUGAACCAGCAACGCCGCGUGUGCGAUGACGGCCUUCGGGUUGUAAAGCACUUUUGACUGGGACGAGGAAGGACGGUACCGGUCGAAUCAGCCUCGGCUAACUACGUG